UACGUAGGGGGCAAGCGUUGUCCGGAUUUAUUGGGCGUAAAGGGCGUGUAGGCGGCCAGGUAGGUCAGCUGUGAAAACUCGAGGCUCAACCUCGAGAUGUCGGCUGAAACCAUCUGGCUAGAGUCCGGAAGAGGAGAAUGGAAUUCCCGGUGUAGCGGUGAAAUGCGCAGAUAUCGGGAAGAACACCCGUGGCGAAGGCGGUUCUCUGGGACGGUACUGACGCUGAGACGCGAAAGCGUGGGGAGCGAACAGG
rnacentral:rRNA from 1 species